GUACUCCAUAUAUGAAAAAUGGCAGUCCCAUUCAACAUCAUCAGGUGCUUCACAGAUCUUUUUCCCCCUUUGGUUCCUGACAUUUAUUUUAUAUUAACUUGAUGAUUGCUUAAAGAUUAUAUAUUCUAUUUAUCACAUUAGAAUUUGACAGGGUAUAUUGAUAUUGCAGGGUGCUGAAAAUUUGAAUGACCCAGAAGGGUCAAAAGAUCUAAAAAGCCGAGGACUGUGUCUUGUGCCUAUCUCAAGCACAUUCCCAGUAGCCAAUGAGACCACAGCAGAUUUCUGGACGCCAACAUUUGGAGGUACUUUCAGG
rnacentral:misc_RNA from 1 species